rnacentral:rRNA from 1 species
GACGAACGCUGGCGGCGUGCUUAACACAUGCAAGUCGAACGGAAAGGCCCUGCUUUUGUGGGGUGCUCGAGUGGCGAACGGGUGAGUAACACGUGAGUAACCUGCCCUUGACUUUGGGAUAACUUCAGGAAACUGGGGCUAAUACCGGAUAGGAGCUCCUGCUGCAUGGUGGGGGUUGGAAAGUUGCGGCGGUUGGGGAUGGACUCGCGGCUUAUCAGCUUGUUGGGGGGGUAGUGGCUUACCAAGGCUUUGACGGUUGGCCGGCCUGGGAGUGUGACCGGCUCCAUAGGGCUACGGGAGGGACCAGACUCCUACGGGAGGCAGCAGUCGGGAAUAUUGCACAAUGGGCGGAAGCCUGAUGCAGCAACGCCGCGUGCGGGAUGACGGCCUUCGGGUUGUAAACCGCUUUCGCCUGUGACGAAGCGUGAGUGACGGUAAUGGGUAAAGAAGCACCGGCUAACUACGUG